rnacentral:rRNA from 1 species
GACGAACGCUGGCGGCGUGCUUAACACAUGCAAGUCGAACGUAAAGGCCCUGCUUUUGUGGGGUGCUCGAGUGGCGAACGGGUGAGUAACACGUGAGUAACCUGCCCUUGACUUUGGGAUAACUUCAGGAAACUGGGGCUAAUACCGGAUAGGAGCUCCUGCUGCAUGGUGGGGGUUAGAAAGUUUCGGCGGUUGGGGAUGGACUCGCGGCUUAUCAGCUUGUUGGUGGGGUAGUGGCUUACCAAGGCUUUGACGGGUAGCCGGCCUGAGAGGGUGACCGGCCACAUUGGGACUGAGAUACGGCCCAGACUCCUACGGGAGGCAGCAGUGGGGAAUAUUGCACAAUGGGCGGAAGCCUGAUGCAGCAACGCCGCGUGCGGGAUGACGGCCUUCGGGUUGUAAACCGCUUUCGCCUGUGACGAAGCGUGAGUGACGGUAAUGGGUAAAGAAGCACCGGCUAACUACGUG